rnacentral:rRNA from 1 species
UUGCGGCGGCUUACACAUGCAGUCGAGGGGUAACAGGGUUUAGUUUACUAGAUUGCUGACGACCGGCGCACGGGUGAGUAACGCGUAUACAAUUUACCUUUUACAGGAGGAUAGCCCAGAGAAAUUUGGAUUAAUACUCCAUAGUAUUAGAUGGCCACCUGGUUAUUUAAUUAAAGUUCCGGCGGUAAAAGAUGAGUAUGCGUCCUAUUAGCUAGAUGGUAAGGUAACGGCUUACCAUGGCGACGAUAGGUAGGGGUCCUGAGAGGGAGAUCCCCCACACUGGUACUGAGACACGGACCAGACUCCUACGGGAGGCAGCAGUGAGGAAUAUUGGUCAAUGGAGGCAACUCUGAACCAGCCAUGCCGCGUGCAGGAAGACUGCCCUAUGGGUUGUAAACUGCUUUUAUACAGGAAGAAACUUACCCACGUGUGGGUAACUGACGGUACUGUAAGAAUAAGGACCGGCUAACUCCGUGCCAGCAGCCGCGGUAAU